AGGUUCUUUCACUGAAUAAGUUUGGAGCACUUAAUGUGCUCCAGGCAAGAGCAAGUAGAAGCCCAUUGUGUGUUUGCCAGGAAGCCUAAAGUAACAGCUACAAGAGUGGUGCUGUAUCAAACUGAAAAGAUAGGCCAUCUGUCAGUGGAAGUUUCAACUAUUGUAAUACGGAUGUAGUAUAGUUUUGAAGAAUCGGUGUUGUUUAUUAGAAGAACAUUGGAAUGUUGUGGAGAAUUAACUGGAACCCUGAUUCCGUCAGGACCUUGUUCCUGGACUGGAGAUGCCUAAGAACUGAAAUCAUCCAGGCGAUGGAGGGAAAAAGGAAGGAGACAUGAUGAUGAAGAUAUAUAUUAGGCAAUCCUGCACUUGAGCCCUACUGCUUCGUUAUUGACAGUGCAUGUAUUUGAGAGGCUAUGAUAGAGGAGGAGUCUGCCCAUGGUGAGGUAUUGGACACAAGUGCAUUGGGACCAGAGUGAUGUUAAAGGAUAAUGCAGAUACCAGCUUAUCAGAGGAUGUGCUGUUGUUUAUAUCUCAGCAGAAGCUGGCGGUAUGUAAAUAUUAACAGACACAGCCACCUUGCCAGGCGCAAGCAAUUUUUUCCCUGCCCUACUUGAGAUUGCAGUUGUGGCUGCAACAGCUGUCUGAUUUCAGUCAUAAUUUCAUUUGUGGAGUGAAAAUAUCUGAAUUUAAGGUAAGAGCAUGGCUCUCUAAAGAUCCUCAUUUGAUCUGGCUCAUGGCCCCUUUUGCCCCAGCUCCUCCUUAAUUAUAGAAUAGAAUCCCUACAGAGUGGAAACAGGCCCGUUGGCCCAAGAAGUCCACACCAAUCCUCAGAGCAUCACACCCAGACCCAUCCCCCUAAUCUACACAUCCCUGAACAUUACAGGCAAUUUAGCAUGGCUAAUCCACCUCACCUACACUUCUUUGGACUGUGGGAGGAAACCAGAGCACUCAGAGGAAACCCACACCGAUAUGGGGAGAAUAUGCAAACUCCACACAGAUAAUUGCCUGAGGGUGGAAUUGAACCCAGGCCCCUGGUGCUGUGAGGCAGCAGUGCUAACCACUGAGCCACUGUGUGGAUUGAACACUUGGUCUUGGCAUUAUUAGCAUGAUGCUCUAACCAGCUGAGCUAACUGACGGCCACACUUUUUGUGAUCUCUCCUCAGUCUACCCAGAUAGCUUAUUUCAGUAUGUGCAUUGCAACGAUCAUUAAAAUACUUCAGCAUCACAAAGACCAAUUCCUGAAUUUAAACUCUCGCCAAUAUAACAAUACUCCAAAAAUGAAUGUAUGACACCUGCUGCCAGAAGAAAUAAAACAGAAAUUAACCUGAAAAUAGUUCAUGAUCCCUUAAAGCAGUAGGAGGUGGAAGGUUGUGUUCAGCUGUGUGAGGUUAACACAAGGCUCUGGCUGGAACAUUACAUUUGAAAACAGCAGUAUGUUCUGAUGUUAAACUGUGACCCUCUGCACUUUUUGGAAAAUUGGAACAGACCAUAAAAUCUCAGUCAAUUGA